rnacentral:misc_RNA from 1 species
GAUGAAGAACGCAGCGAAAUGCGAUACUUGGUGUGAAUUGCAGAAUCCCGUGAACCAUCGAGUCUUUGAACGCAAGUUGCGCCCGAAGCCAUUAGGCCGAGGGCACGCCUGCCUGGGCGUCACACGUCGUUGCCCCCCCAUCUACUCCUUCGGGAUUGCGGGGGGCGGAUGAUGGCCUCUCGUGCGCCUCGUCGCGCGGUUGGCCUAAAUGCCAAGUCCUCGGCGACGCACGCCACGACAAUCGGUGGUUGCGAAACCUCGGUUGCCUGUCGUGUUCGGUCGUCGCGCAUCGAGGGCUCGAAAAAAUUGCCGGGCUUCGGCUCGACUUUCAACGCGACCCCAGGUCAGGCGGGGUUACCCGCUGAAUUUAAGCAUAUCAAUAAGCGGAGGA